rnacentral:lncRNA from 13 species
CAGAUUAUGCUUUUUCCAUAAAGUUUUUUUGAAAUCUGACACAGCAGUUGCCUCUAGCACUUAGCCAUCCCGGAUCCGGGAUCGUGAAUACAGCCUCAAGCUCAUUACCAUAACGCAACGUUAACUAUUCAUGAAAAUCGCAAAUGAAAUGAAAUAAAUAUGCUAGCUCUCAAGCUUAGCCUUUUGUUAACAACACUGUCAUCUCAGAUUUUCAAAAUAUGCUUCUCAACCAUAGGAAAACAAUCAUUUGUGUAACAGUAGCUAGCUAGCGUAGCAUUUAGCAUUAGCAUUAGCAUUCAGCAGGCAACAUUUUCACAAAAACCAGAAAAGCAUUCAAAUAAAAUAAUUUACCUUUGAAGAACUUCAGAUGUUUUCAAUGAGGAGACUCUGUUAGAUAGCAAAUGUUCAGUUUUUCCUGAAAGAUUAUUUGUUUAGGAGAAAUCGCUCCGUUUGGUGCGUCACGUUUGGCCACCAAAAAAACCUGAAAAUCCAGUCAUCAAAACGCCAAACUUUUUUCCAAAUUAACUCCAUAAUAUCGACUGAAACAUGGCAAACGUUGUUUAGAACCAAUCCUCAAGGUGUUUUUCACAUAUCUCUUUGAUGAUAUAUCGUUCGUGGAAGUGUGCUUUCUGUUCUGAAUCCCAGGAGAAAAUGCCCGCAGCUGAAGAUUACGCACCAAUUUAGACAAAGGACACCGGGCGGACCCCUGGAAAAUGUAGUCUCUUAUGGCCAAUCUUCCAAUGCCUACAAAUACGUCACAAUGCUGUCAACACUAUGGGGAAACGACAGAAAGUCUAAUCUCAUUCGUGACCCAUACACAGCCAUAUAAGGACUCAUUGAAACACAGCGCCUUCAAAAUCUGGGGGCACUUCCUGUUUGAAAUUUCAUCUUGGUUUCGCCUGUAGCAUCAGUUCUGUGGCACUCACAGACAAUAUCUUUGCAGAUUUGGAAACGUCAGUGUUUUCUUUCCAAAGCUGUCAAUUAUAUGCAUAGUCAAGCAUCUUUUCGUGACAAAAUAUCUUGUUUAAAACGGGAAAGUUUUUUUAUCCAAAAAUUAAAAGAGCUCCCCCUAUAUCGAAGAAGUUAAAGACAUUACACCCCAAUCACGCUGAUAAACCGCUUGAUUUUUUUCAGCGAAAACGUGCCAAAUAUUGCCAACAAUCGUCCCGCGUUGUGAAUGCUACUUCAGUAAACCAGCGAGCACUGUUAGCAUCAUAUAAGGUGGCGUACCAAAUUGCUCAGUUAAAAAAACA